UUCGAGCCUGAAGCGGGGCCUGUAACCCAGGACCCAUCACUUAUGUAGGGUGUCCAUGGCAACCAGGCAAUGGUAUGGGACCCCUUCUCACUGGGGAAUUCCUUUUAUGGCUCAUUUCCGAAACCAGCAUGGCCAGUACACGAGUCGGCAGUUUCCCAGUUGCUUAGCAACCAGCUCCAAUGCUCUAGUCACUAGGAAAAGCAGUCUUUUUUUUUUUUAAAACUGUCAUCAGAAUCAUAUGUUACAUUCUCUCUACUUUGUCUCUUUAGAAUAAAACAAUUAGUGUGUGAUAAGGACGCAGGAAAGGGCGACCGCUCCCAUCAUUAAUGCCUCCACUGCUCCUGGAGGGCCGUGGCAGGCAGGGAGAGGGAGGAAAAUGUUAGCAUGCUUUCGGCUGGUAAUUAAGCAGCGCGAGCCAUCUGCACGUUGAAAGCUCUACAUUUUUCACGUCUCGUGGGGGCAUCGAAAUUUUCCAGACUGGAGCAUAUCCCCCGUCAGCCUCCACCCUGGCUUGCUAUGGAAGCCCCUCCAGCCCCCCCGACCCCAAUCACUUAAAAUGCCUUGUGAACUCCGUUAUUCCUUUCUUGAAAUGCGUCAACCAGAACUGCACAUUCUUUGCAAAGUAAGUGCCUAAGAAACAUUGGAGGGAACGGGAUACAGAUGUCUCUGCUGUCACACCAUAUACUUGUUCUUGAGAAGCUCCCAUGGUCUACAGCAUGGACUGAUUUGAGAGAGCAAGAGAGAACACAAGCAGG